CGUGGCGCUGCCGCGGGCGGCGCUCCUGCUUCCUGCGGGAGUACUGGUCGACCGCCUCGGUGCCGCCCGGGUCGUGGCCGGCGCCGCCU
rnacentral:tRNA from 1 species